CAAGAAAUAGUUUAUAAAAAUAUUAAUUUUGGGAAUUAAAGAUAAAGAAUUUUCUUUUUUCUUGA
rnacentral:tRNA from 1 species